UGGUUCUGGCAUNGAUGAAGAACGCAGCGAAAUGCGAUACGUAAUGUGAAUUGCAGAAUUCAGUGAAUCAUCGAAUCUUUGAACGCACAUUGCGCUCCCUGGUAUUCCGGGGAGCAUGCCUGUUCGAGCGUCAUUAUCAACCAUCAAGCUCUGCUUGGAAUUGGGCGUCGUCCGCACGGACGUGCCUUAAACGCCUCGGCGGCGGUUUCAAACCUCAAGCGUAGUAAAAUCUUUUCAGCUUUCUAGGUUCGGGACCGUUUUUGCCUCGAGAACCCUCUCACCUCAAGGUUGACCUCGGAUCAGGUAGGGAUACCCGCUGA
rnacentral:misc_RNA from 1 species